CUUUGGUGAUGCUGGGUUCCAUGGCAGGCGUCAUGCACAGCAAAAGAUAGAAGUUAUAUAGUAAUAGAUCAAUAUCCUGAAAAGUUUGACUUUGCCUCUGUAACGCAGCGUCACAUUGUGAGCCUUUUUUGCUCCGUGAUGCAUAAAUACCGUCCCAUACGUAGGAGUGCAGCGUAUUCACUGUUUGCAACAUUGAUUCAUUCGUGCGAAAGCAAGCAGACCUGUAGUUCAUGUAUCUGAGGAUCUUUGUUAGUCUUAACGAUUUUAAAGUACGUUCUUGCGGGCAGCUGUAGCUUUUCAGUUUUGCCUCCUUGGACUAUAGGUGAGGCAAUGCCCCCAUGGUAUAAAUGCAAAAAGCUGAAACUACUAAGAGUUUUAAGUAGCCGUGAGGCCUGCAAUCUUUUUCUUCCUCUAGUGUUUGUACUGCAUGGUGAACAUUGCGGCCUCCAACGAACUGCAUUCUUCGUUGUUGAUAUCGGUAGCAUACGUUAGGGGAGACAGAAGUCAGAAAAGAUCGUGAAUCUAUGGUGUAACUUUGGUGUCGUGAUUUUUUCUCUUGGGAGGGAU
rnacentral:lncRNA from 1 species